GAGAGAUCCACCAGGGCAAAAAUACUAUAGAUGCAAGAUAUAGAAGGGGAGUGAAUGCUUUCUUUUUUGCCAUUUUUUCAUCUGUGAGUUGUUAAUGAACCCACCUCAUUCGUUGACUUUAUGUGAUCUAAUCUUUCUAUCAAGCAUGCCUUUCAUAAAGUCAACGAAUGAGGUGGGUUCAUUAACAACUCACAGAUGAAAAAAUGGCAAAAAAGAAAGCAUUCACUCCCCUUCUAUAUCUUGCAUCUAUAGUAUUUUUGCCCUGGUAGAUCUCUC
rnacentral:pre_miRNA from 1 species